AAAUUGAAGAGUUUGAUCAUGGCUCAGAUUGAACGCUGGCGGCAGGCCUAACACAUGCAAGUCGAACGGUAACAGGAAGCAGCUUGCUGCUUCGCUGACGAGUGGCGGACGGGUGA
rnacentral:rRNA from 7 species